AGUGAACGCUGGCGGUAGGCCUAACACAUGCAAGUCGAACGGCAGCACAGGAGAGCUUGCUCUCUAGGUGGCGAGUGGCGGACGGGUGAGGAAUACAUCGGAAUCUGCCCAGUCGUGGGGGAUAACGUAGGGAAACUUACGCUAAUACCGCAUACGACCUUCGGGUGAAAGAGGGGGAUCGCAAGACCUCUCGCGAUUGGAUGAGCCGAUGUCGGAUUAGCUAGUUAGCGGGGUAAUGGCCCACCAAGGCGACGAUCCGUAGCUGGUCUGAGAGGAUGAUCAGCCACACUGGAACUGAGACACGGUCCAGACUCCUACGGGAGGCAGCAGUGGGGAAUAUUGGACAGUGGGCGCAAGCCUGAUCCAGCCAUACCGCGUGGGUGAAGAAGGCCUUCGGGUUGUAAAGCCCUUUUGUUGGGAAAGAAAUCUUUCAGGCUAAUACCCUGGGAGGAUGACGGUACCCAAAGAAUAAGCACCGGCUAACUUCGUG
rnacentral:rRNA from 1 species